rnacentral:rRNA from 1 species
UACAGGGGGUGCAAACGUUGCUCGGAAUUACUGGGCGUAAAGCGUGCGCAGGCGGUUUUGUAAGUCUGUCGUGAAAGCCCCGGGCUCAACCUGGGAAUUGCGAUGGAGACUGCAAGGCUUGAAUCUGGCAGAGGGGGGUAGAAUUCCACGUGUAGCAGUGAAAUGCGUAGAGAUGUGGAGGAACACCGAUGGCGAAGGCAGCCCCCUGGGUCAAGAUUGACGCUCAUGCACGAAAGCGUGGGGAGCAAACAGG